UGUAAGCGUAUACCAAAGUUGUUGCAGUUAAAACGCUCGUAGUCGGACUUUGGCAGUUCCGGAUGUGUGCACGUCGUGUGCGCACUUCGCGGGGAUUGCUUUUGUGGUCUUGCGUAGGAUGAGGCACUUUUAUUAGUGAACGUCCUCACGCAACCACUUUUUACUGUGAGAAAAUCAGAGUGCUCAAAGCAGGCAUUUGCCGUGAAUGUAUUAGCAUGGAAUAAUAGAAUAGGACUUGGUUCUAUUUUGUUGGUUUGUUGGGACUGAGUAAUGAUUAAGAGGGACGGUUGGGGGCAUUUGUAUUUCGGUGCUAGAGGUGAAAUUCUUAGAUUACCGAAAGACAAACUGCUGCGAAAGCGUCUGCCAAGGAUGUUUUCAUUGA
rnacentral:rRNA from 1 species